rnacentral:ncRNA from 1 species
UAAAGUUUUAUUCUUGCUUCUUAUUGGAUUAAUUUAUUUUUUAAAUACGUUUGUUAGAUUAGAUUGUAGUAUUAGAAAAUUUUAUUUCAAAUUUUAUAUUUGUAAUAGAAAUAAAUUUAAAAGUAGUUAAAAUUGUGCCAGCAACUGCGGUUAAACAAUUGCUUUAAUUUAAUAUUAUAAAAAUUUUGAUAUUUUGAUUUUUUUUUAUUAAAAAAAUUUAUUUUAGGUGAAAUUUAAUAUUUUAUUUUUAUUCAUAAGAUAAACAAUCAAAAAAACUAAUUUAAAAACUAGAAUUAGAUACUCUACUAUAUUUAGUAAAAUUUAAAAUUUUAGGUAGUAAAUGUUAUGUUCAGGAAACUUAAAGAAUUUGGCGGUAUUUAUUCUUAUCAGAGGAAUAUGUUUUUUAAUCGAUAAUCCACGUUUAUUCAACUUUAUUUGAUUUAUUUUGUAUAUCUCCGUCUAAAAAAAUUAUUUAAAAAUAUAUUUUUAAAUUUAAAUUUAAAAGAAGUCAGGUCAAGGUGCAGAUUAUGAUAAAGUUAAAAUGUAUUACAAUAAACUUAUUUUUGGACUUAUUAUGAAAAAUUUAAUGAAAUUGGAUUUGAAAGUAAAUUGAUUUAUAUAAUAAUUUAUUGAACUAUGUAAAUAAAUAUGUACAUAUUGCCCGUCGUUCUCUUUAGGAGGUAAGUCGUAACAAAGUAGAUUUACUGGAAAGUGAAUCUGGUUUCAA